rnacentral:rRNA from 1 species
UACGGAGGAUCCAAGCGUUAUCCGGAUUUAUUGGGUUUAGAGGGUGCGCAGGCGGAAGAUUAAGUCGGCGGUGAAAUUUUGCAGCUCAACUGUAAAAGUGCCAUCGAUGCUGGUUUUCUUGAGUGUGGAUGAAGUAGGCGGAAUUUGUGGUGUAGCGGUGAAAUGCAUAGAUAUCACGAGGAACUCCGAUUGCGCAGGCAGCUUACUAGGCCAUAACUGACGCUCAGGCACGAAGGCGUGGGGAUCAAACAGGA